GUUCAAACGAGGAAGGGGUUACGGUGGAUACCUAGGCACCUAGAGACGAGGAAGGGUGUGGUAAGCGACAAAAUGCUUCAGGGAGUUGAAAAUGAGCAUAGAUUCAAAGAUUCCCAAACAAGUUAACCUUUUCAACUACUGCUAAAUCCAUGGGUAGACAAGAGACAACAUGGUGAGCUGAAACAUCUCAGUAGCUAGAGAAAUAGAAAGCAAAAGUGAUUCCUGUAGUAGCAGCGGGCGAAAUGGGAGCAACCUAAACCGUGAAAACUUGGUUAUGGAAGAGCACAAUAUAAGCUCUGCGCUGCUAGGCGAAGCAAUUGAGUCCUACACCCUAGAUGGUGAGAGUCUAGUAGCAAAAAAGUAUCAUUGGCUUAUGCUCUAACCUGAGUAGCAUGGAGCAUGUGGAAUCCCAUGUGAAUCAACAAGGACCACCUUGCAAGGCUAAAUACUCCUAGGUGACUAAUAACGAAGUAAUAAUGUGAGGGAAAGAUGAAAAUAACCCACAUCGAGGAGUGAAAUAGAGCAUGAAACCGUAAGCUCCCAAAAAGUGGUAGGAAAAUUAGAUCUCUGGCUGUGUGCUUGUUGAAGAAUGAGCCGGCGAAUUAUAGAUAGUGGCUUGGUUAAGGGAACCCACCAAAGCUGUAGUGAGAGUGAGACUUCAUGGGGAAAUUGUCACUGCUUAUGGACUUGAACCUGGGUGAUCCAUCCAUGACCAGGAUGAAGCUUGGGUGAAACUAAGUGGAGGUUUGAACUAACUGAUGUUGAAAAAUUAGGGAAUAAAUUGUGGUUAGGGGUGAAAUGCCACUCGACCGUAGAGCUAGCUGGUUCUCCCUAAAAUGCAUUGAGGCACAAUAGUUGACUAGACCAUCUAGGGGUAAAGCACUAUUUUAGUAUGGACCGUGAGAGUGGUACCAAAUUGAGGCAAAAUCAAAAUAUUAGAUUUCCCCAGUAAAAGGGGUUAAGGUCAGCCAAUGAGACGACAGGGGACAAGAUUCAUCGCCGAGAGGGGAACAACCUAGAUCACCAAUGAAGGCCCCUAAAUGACCUCUUAGUGGUGAAGGAAGUAUGUGUGCAAAGACAACCAUGAUGUUUGCCUAGAAGUAGACAACCUUGAAAGAGUGUGUAAUAACUCAUUGAUUGAGCGCUAUUGCGUCGAAGAUGAGUAGGACUAAGCAAUUUGUUGAAGUUGUGGGAUGUAAAAAUAAAUCGGUAGGGGAGCGUUCUGCCUUAGAGGGAAGCACCGACACAAGUAGGAGUGGACGAAGUGGAAGCAAGAAUGUCAGCUUAAGUAAUGCAAACAUUGGUGAGAACCCAAUGCCCCUAAAAGCUAAGGGUUCCUUCGCAUGGUUCAUCCACGGAGGGUGAGUCAGGGCCCAAGAUUAGGCUGAAAGGCGUAGUCGAUUAACAACAGGUGAAUAUUCAUGUUCUACCCCUUGUUGGUCGCAAGGGACAGAGGAGGAUAGGCUAGCCGAAAGAUGGUUAUUGGUUCAAGGACACAAGGUGACCUUGCUUUUUUCAGGGUAAGAAGGGGUAGAGAAAAUGCCUCGAGCCAAUGUUCCAAUACCAAGCACUACAACAUUGAAGUAACCUAUGCCAUACUUCCAAUAAAAACUUGAAGGACCUUUAACAAAUGGGUACAUGUACCUGAAACCGACACAUGUAGGCAGGUAGAGAAUACUUAGGGGCACGAAACAACUCUCUCUCUAAGAAACUUGGAAAAAUAACCCCGUAACUUCGGGAAAAGAAGUGUCUCCUUAGGAAAUUGCAAUGACUAGGUCCAAGUGGUUGUUUUACUAAAAACAUAGGUCUCCGCAAAGUCAUAAAAAGUUCUAAUCUAUCAUUUAAUAAAUUAAAAGCAAAGGCAAAAAAGUAAAGCUUAAAUUUCAAAUAAAUGCUAAGUUAAAAGACACUUAAAAAUACAAAAUUGAAAUCUUUUUGGAACGUUUAAAUGAAAAUUUAAAAAUGCAAAGUUUAAAUAUUUUUC
rfam:Picea glauca, whole genome shotgun sequence.